GACGAACGCUGGCGGCGUGCUUAACACAUGCAAGUCGAACGGAAAGGCCCUGCUUUUGUGGGGUGCUCGAGUGGCGAACGGGUGAGUAACACGUGAGUAACCUGCCCUUGACUUUGGGAUAACUUCAGGAAACUGGGGCUAAUACCGGAUAGGAGCUCCUGCUGCAUGGUGGGGGUUGGAAAGUUUCGGCGGUUGGGGAUGGACUCGGGGCUUAUCAGCUUGUUGGUGGGGUAGUGGCUUACCAAGGCUUUGACGGGUAGCCGGCCUGAGAGGGUGACCGGCCACAUUGGGACUGAGGUACGGCCCAGACUCCUACGGGAGGCAGCAGUGGGGAAUAUUGCACAAUGGGCGGAAGCCUGAUGCAGCAACGCCGCGUGCGGGAUGACGGCCUUCGGGUUGUAAACCGCUUUCGCCUGUGACGAAGCGUGAGUGACGGUAAUGGGUAAAGAAGCACCGGCUAACUACGUG
rnacentral:rRNA from 1 species